GUGCUCGCUUCAGCAGCACAUACACUAAAAAUUGGAAUGAUUACAGAGAUUACCACAGCCCCUGCCUAAGGAUGGCACACAAAUUCGUGAAGCAUUCCAUAUUUAA
ensembl:snRNA U6 U6 spliceosomal RNA